CUUUCCUUUGUCAGGCAUGCUGUACGGCUACUAUCACCAGCCAGUGUAGUCGCCAAAAUGAACGGCCGUGACAAAAUCUGCAAGACGGAUCUAGAAGAAGUUAAUACAUUGUAUCUUGACGCGAAGUCAUCUGCUCAACUUCUUCAAAAGGGAUAGAUACAUCUCAUGAGAAACUGUACUGUAAUAUCCUGUUCGGUCUUAAAUCUGGACGCUGUAGCUUUAUUCGUUGAGGCGCUCGUAUCCAAAUUGCAUUUUGCAAGUCAAUUUGCUUCAUUUAAGGAUGUGGCUGUCUUCUGUAACUGAUGUUUCAUUACGUUAAGCGUAUAUUCUAGUCCGUUGCGUAUCUUGUCCAUCGGUGUGGUGACUCCUGUGUAUUUGAUACUCUUGCUAAAAAUGUGUAUGGUGCAGUAUUUUUUUCAGUAAUGGUUGUUUGUUACAAGAUAUUGACAUUAUCCUAACCCUAAACCUGUUAGAUAAUGAUCUGGUUUUUCGACAUAUUUUGAAGAUGAAUGUAUUUUCAUCUCCAA